rnacentral:rRNA from 1 species
UACGAAGGGGGCUAGCGUUGUUCGGAAUUACUGGGCGUAAAGGGCGCGCAGGCGGCCCUCCAAGUCAGGCGUGAAAGCCCCGGGCUCAACCCGGGAACAGCGCUUGAGACUGGGGGGCUUGAGUUCGGGAGAGGAGAGUGGAAUUCCCAGUGUAGAGGUGAAAUUCGUAGAUAUUGGGAAGAACACCGGUGGCGAAGGCGGCUCUCUGGACCGACACUGACGCUGAGG